rnacentral:sRNA from 1 species
GUGGAUCCCUUGGCUUGUGGGUCGAUGAAAAACGCAGCUAAUUGCGCGUUGUCAUGUGAACUGCAGGACACAUGAAUAUCGACACUUUGAACGCAAAUGGCGGCCCUCGUCUUUGACUUGGGCCACACCUGGCAGAGGGUCGGAUCAAAUCUAUUUCUUCAGCCUGCGAUGUACGUUGACAGAUAUCUUAGUCUGUGGAAAAAUCUGUCAUUCGUACACGCGAGAGUGGAUUUCUGCUUCUGAAGUGGAUUUCUUAAAAGCCUCCUCGCUUUGAUUCACCUGCACUGCAGCGGGACAGAGUGGGCCCCCCGAUGAGAUGGUGCAUCGCGGAGGGCCCGUUCUCUGUAGUCAAGCGUUAAAAGAUCCUAACCGAUCUCUUUGAUUCCGACCUCUGUUCAGGUGAGAUUACCCCCUGGAUUUAAGCAUAUUAAUAAGGGGAGGAAAAGAAACUAAC